rnacentral:rRNA from 1 species
AGUGAACGCUGGCGGCGUGCUUAAUACAUGCAAGUCGAACGAUGAAGUCCUAGCUUGCUCGGAUGGAUUAGUGGCGCACGGGUGAGUAAUAUAUAGUUAAUCUGCCUUGCACUGAGGAACAACAGUUGGAAACGAUUGCUAAUACCUCAUACUCCAACUUUACAUAAGUUAAGUUGGGAAAGUCUUUUCGGUGCAAGAUGAGACUAUAUCGUAUCAGCUAGUUGGUAAGGUAAUGGCUUACCAAGGCUAUGACGCGUAACUGGUCUGAGAGGAUGAUCAGUCACAUUGGAACUGAGACACGGUCCAAACUCCUACGGGAGGCAGCAGUAAGGAAUAUUGUGCAAUGGGGGAAACCCUGACGCAGCAACGCCGCGUGGAGGAUGACACUUUUCGGAGCGUAAACUCCUUUUGUUAGGGAAGAAUAAUGACGGUACCUAACGAAUAAGCACCGGCUAACUCCGUG